GUCCUGAGGGGCCAAUGGCCCCCAGGUGGGACCUGACUGCUUUCCCCUAUCCAUAAUGUGGGAUAAGGAAGAGGGGAAUGAAAUGGGAGCCUGGUUUUCCCAGGAGCCAGGCAUGGACACACUGGAGGAGGGCCAAGAGGAUACGGCUGUGGUCCAGAAGUGAGCUCAUGGCUGGGGGUGCGACCAGCUGUGAGCACUGAUCUAGGACCUGCUGCAACAUCUGGCAGCAUCUGGAUGCUGGAGCCCAGGUGUGAAGUGCUCCUGGCAGGAGCAGGAUGGGACAACAGCACCUUGGGAGCACCCAUUGCUGCUGUGCACAGCACCAGAGUUCCAAUGGCUGUGCCCAUGGAGCACAGGUGGCCAUAGGGCUGAGCAGCUGUUGGUGGGCAAAGCAUUUGGCACUGGGCUAUUUUCAGAAGAAAGCAGGGGAGGAGAAAUGCCACAGAGGAAUGGUGGCUUGGGCACAGCCCUUAGGGAAGCUGAGGCUCAGAGCUGCCCAGGGAGCGGCGCAGGAUCUGGCCUUGGCUGCACAGAAACACCCACGUCUGCCCCUCAGGCCGAUGCUGCAGCCAUUCCCCAGCCCUGCAGCCACCAGCCCUCGUUCCCCCUGACCCUGUGGAGCAGAGCAGCUGAGGCAGCACCAGGCCAGGCUUAGGCUGGGCACAGAGUCCAACUGGGCAGAGAUAAAACACUUCCCACUAGCCACCAGGACAGAUUUUGGGGCUCACCCACUCCUCUGCCUACCCACCGACAGCCAAUACACAUCCCAAAUUCCACCUCCCUUGGAAUCAUCCCACCUUCGAGCAGGCACCCAUUCCACCUCCCUGGUAACGUCCCAGCUCCAUGCUGGCAUCCACCAUUCCCAAGCUGCUGGCUUCAUGCCCAGGAGGGUCCACACAUCCCCCACCUCCUCUAAUCCCUCCCACCCUGGGAAGAGUUUGGCUUCCUCCUCUGCAUGGCCCUUGCUGCAGGUAAUUAAACAGUACUGGGGCCAGGACAAACUUCCCGCUGGGCUCCACACACGUUGUAAAUCAAAAAGGAAGAGAGAGCAACAGGAGCCAGAGCCAGCGGGAGCGUUUCCUCAGGAGGAAGUGGCCGGCAGCUCCCUUCCGCCGCCCAGCCUGGGUAUUGUCCUGCCUGGGGACAGGAAAAGCCUCCUCUGCCAAGGCCUGGAGACCUCCCACACCACUCCAGCAGCAAAGGUGCCCUUUGCAUCAGCACUGCUCUGGUGUCCCCUCCACUGAGCUGGGGACAGGCUGCUCGUCACCUGCCACCUCCUAUGGCCCCUUCAGCCAAUGUCUGCAGCUGCAUCCCAACUGUGGGGGACAUUCUCCCACUGCUUCCAGACCCCAUUUCUUUUGGUCUGACAGGGCUGGACCAGAGCACAAGUUUCUGUCUUCACCCAGCCCCAAAAAUGAUAAUGGGACCUGCCAGCUACCAACCAUGUUCAAGUGGCCCCACGGACCCCAUGGUGUUCAAACCCUCCUCCAAGGAGCAAACAUCCCCCAGGCUCCUCGGGCUGUGCAAACUGUCCCUGGGCUAGGGAAGAGGUGUGGGGCUGGAUUGGACAAGUGGGGGCAGAUGGUCCCAGUGUGCAGCAGGUUGAGUCCCCACACCCAUGGUCCAGCCACUGUCAGCACAGCCUGACCUGGCUGCCACAACCAUGGCACCACACAGGCAGCCACCCUCCAUCUGGGCUGAAGUCUUGCUGGGGCAAAUUAUACCAGCCACUUUGGUGCCAAAGGCUGAUUUUCAGCAGCUUCAGCUCACACCUGUAUUUUCCCCUCAUGCUGUUGUACCAAUGCAAAUAUGGGAAACUUGGGGCCAAAACUGGCGCUGCUCUGCACAAUUACAAUCAGAAGUCAUGUCAGGAAUGAGGGAGGCUGGGCACCUUGGCACAGCCCAGGUACCACCCGGGCCUCCUGCCCCAGCCCCAGCUGCAGGCAGCACCUUGUGACCCCUGGCCUCAUGGGACAAUUUCCCCUUAGGGUUCCCAAGCUCCUGCACUGGCAGAGGAGAGGUCUGGGAGAGCUGUUCCUAAAGCUUGAGACCUUUGGGCCCUUUUCUUCCCCGGGGCCACAGCUGUAGCAGCCCUCAGCCUGGUUCAACCACCUGCUGCAGCGCAGCCCGAGCCGCUCCACCGGCAGGGCCAGCGCUGGACACAGAGAGGGUUCUCCCUGGCUCUCCUCCUGAGCCAAAAUACUGAGGUCAUGAGGAAUGUGAGAAGAACAGAGUCCAGAGCCGCCCUGGCCAGCACAGCUUGAUUUAUCUCAGCCAGGCAUGCUUCCCUCGUAGCUGAGCAGGCGAUAAGCCCUGAAGCUUGGAACUGAGGCUGUUCCAAAGUUAAAGGGAAACCACUGAGCAAGCACACGGCUUCCUCCACUGCCAGCAGCCUGCCAGGAUCCCGGCUCCUCACACAGUCAGCUGUCACACGUGCCUGUCACCUGCAGUGUUACCUGCCAGCACUGUGGCUGGGUGCAGCAAUAGGUAUCCAGGGCUCACGACACCUUCCUGUCCCUGUUCCCUGCUGCAGGGCUGUAUGGGAGAGCCUGUGCCUAUUUGCCCAGGCCAAAGUGGCCAUGCUGUCUAUGCUGGAGCUGCUCCUGGAGGAGCUGAAUCCAGGUGGGUGAGUGCACAAUGCUGACCCAGGGAGAGAAAGGGAAAUUAUCAUCUCAACAGCCUAAUUUCAGGGUUGGACUGGAGUUGUCGUCAUCGAUGACUCGGUUGGCUGGGAGGCCAAAGGGCCGCCCAGGCUCUGCACCCACUCCAGCCCCUCAGGGACCUCCCUGAGCUCACACACAACAGGUGUAGAGUCCACACACAGACUCACCCACGAGGAGAUCAGCUCUACCAGCCCGCUCACACCUACAGCACUACAGGCUCCCGACAGCUUCACUAGAGAACAUCAACCCCUUUCCUUGCUGCCCAGCAGCACCUUCCAACACCUCCGGAUUCCCUCGGGGCUGCAUCAGCAGCGACGGCCUGGGCUUGUCCUGCUGUGAGGAGGGGCUCGGAUCAAACUAAAUUUACACGCGGGAAGCCCAGCUCUGAACUUCACGGGUAUUUUUCCAUAGCUGGCACUUCUGUAACUACUCACGGGAAGAGCAGGAGAAACAAGAUGUGCUUCCCGGCGUCCCUCCCAGCUGCUGGCAGGCAGUUUGGGGACUUCCUGGGAAAGGGUUUGCAUCCGGACGGAAGUACCUUAAUAGCUCUAAUGAAUCUACCUCCACUGACAGACCUCAUCCCUUUCCAAUCCAUUUGCAUAGUUGGCCUCCCCAGCAUUCUGUGGUAAUGAACUUGGUGAUUUCACGCCCUCAAUUGGUCUCCAAAGCAGGUCUGGAAUAGCACCACUCUUGCUGAUUCACUGACUGCUUGGAGAAGAAAUCGUUUGGGUCCCCUGCACAGUGUGGUUUUACCUUCUCUGUCCAGGUCAGGAAAGGUGAAGUCUGGGGCAAUGAGCCAGGUCCCAGCAGUGCCCAGCUGGGCUGUGGAGCUCAUGCCCCACAUCCCGGCUCAAAGGUCCAUGAUGGGCCCACAUCCAGGUCCCUCACUUCUGCUCUUGGACAUCUGACAAAAAUGUCACCCACCUCCAGGCAGCAAUUCUAGUUUCCUCCCUGCAAAGGGAAAAAAACAACAAAGGAGGAGUUGAGGAAACAUGAGCUUGGGAAAGUGAUGUCACUGCAGCUCUGUGGGUGCCAGACCCCCACAUGACUGCUGCUACCGCAGCAUGAGGGCUGAGCUGUGGAAGACUGAGGAGACCACAAACAACCCAGCAUCACCAAAGAAAUACAGCCCUGGGGCUGCCUGAAUGUGGUGCUGGAUCACAAAACUGUGGCAGCUCAGAGAUAUUUCCAGGCUGAGACUCACCAGCAGCCUUUGAACAAGAGGGAUGGCAUUGCUCUCUGCAGGGAUCAGACUCCUCUGGCUUUAAGUUCUAGUCACUGAGAAGAAUCAAACCCAAGGGACAGUCACUGUUUCUAGUAUUCAUUGUUUUCUGCAGAAACUAUGUGGGACUCAAAUAUGAGGCCAUGGCCAGAGAACUCACCUGGGCUGGUUGGUGUUCACACCCCAUGUAAAUCUCAUCUGCAUCCAAGAGCAGAUCACAUGGAGCAAAGUGCUUCUGCAGCCUCGGCUGGCCACCAGUGCGGUGGCUUCACCCCACACCAGGGACGCCGAGCCAGGACCUGCUCGAGCUGUGGCUCCUGCUGGGCCAGGCUGGCGCAGCCCAGCACGUGCAGCUGAACCCAGGCUCGGAGGCAAAUGGCAGCGGCCGCACCCACACCUGUGCCAAGGUUUGGGAGUGAACAGAAAGCUCGUUUCCUCUCGUCACCUCUCUGCUCAGAUCCUUCCUCCUGAGAUGCUGCAGCAAAACAAAGAGCCCGAGUGGAGCUGGAGGCACUUCCCCAGCAGUGUGGGAUCUGGGGAAGGGUCCCCAAGGAGCUGUGGGUGCACACAUGGUGCUCAGACCCAGCUGAGCUGAAGCCACUGGAGGAAGCCAAACCCUGACAGCAGGAAAACCACCACACAGACUCGUUGCCAAAAGCCUCCUGCCUUGCCAUUUCCCAGCACCCAUCACCUCCUGGAGACCCCCUUGAACCCAGGUUGGGGCUAUGCUGAGGCCCCUGCACCAAACACAGACCACCCUCAAUGACACCCUCUCCCUGGGGACCUCCUGCUCCAUGCCACCUCCUGCUACCUUCCACUAAGGUCUGUGACCCUCCUGUCCCCAGCACAGCCCUGCAGGAGCAGCCCUAGUCCAGGUGCACGGUGCCCUCGUGUCCUGUCCCCCAGCCCGUGUCCCCUCUGAUCUCGCCGGCCGCAGGUGACAUUUUGUGCCUGUGCGGCACAGCAGGCGUGGGCUUUUAUCUCGGGCAAUCCUUGAUGUGCUUGGCACAGCCUUUGGCUAGCCCGGGGAAGGCCGGGACAGCUUUUUUUGUGGCUGCGAUUGCAGCUCAGCCUUAUCAGUGCCGAGGGAAAUGCCGUGCGGGCUUUCCGCAGCUCGGCUUUGCUCUGGCCGCGGGCCAGCCCCGCCGGCCGCGCGUCCUGCCGUGUGUGGCCCCAGCACACCCCGACGGCCGGUGGGAGCCCUCAGCGGGACAUUCCGGCGCUGGGAUCACGCUGUGCACGGCGCAUUUGCAGCCUGGCUUGCCUUGAAGAGCUGUAAUCUUGGCUGAAACACUACACUCCUUCCAAAUGGCCAUUUUCCUUUAGGGACUCUGGGCCCUCAUGUCCUCCUGUAGCCAGUAGGCUCUAAAAUGGGUUUUGAAAAUAGGUGCCCGAGCUGAUUGUCCCCAAAAGGGGUGACUCCUGGAAAGGGGGACACCUGCCCCUGUGAAUUCCUGUGACUUCGGUCCCACAGUAGGGUGGGGUCCCAGCUGCAGCCCUGUCCUCUGUGGAAAAUGCUCAGGAGCAGCAGCCCUGACAUCCCCAGCCCCUGGUGCUCGGCGGGGACACUGGUCUGCGUGGGGACAAGGAUGCGCCAUCACCUGGUGGGUGAUGUGGUCUCAGCUCCACCCACUGAUUUCCAGCUCGACCCUUCACCCUGCAGAGCAGAAUGGAGCUGGCUGUGCAUCGUGAGCACAAACCAGCCCCCAAAUCCCUUCUGUGCUCUCUGUCCUCUAGCACCCAGCAAAGUUGCCGGCUGAGUCCUUAGGACAAAGAGGGAAUUGCCUACCCAGCAGAUGCCUCUCUGCCCUGCACGGUUUUCCCCUGGGGAGUUAUUUCCAGCUGUUUUCAGGCCUCCACUCUCCCUGCCCCAGCUUCACUCCCCCCGCCGCAGAGCCCUCGGGCUGACGGCGUCCGGCUCCCUUUUGGCAUUUCCAGGGAGUCGGGAAAGGCCACUCGCGUCCGGCACACAGAGCGCCCUUCUCCGGCCGGCGCCCCGCGGCCGGCAGCUUCCCGGCUGCCGAGGAUCUGCCAAGGGCCGGGGGGCGCAGCGGGACCUUCCCGACGGGAACGGCACAGAUCUGUCAUUGAGAAGAGCAGAAAAGCCCCUCUGUGCCGCCGCCCGAAGCGGCACAUCUGCUGCCGGCACACAAUCGGCCCUUUGAGCGGGCAGCCGUGGAGCGGGGCCGAGCGGAGCGCCCGUCCCGCUGCCCGCCUCCGGGCGGGCCGGAGCCUGCAUCCUCCUUCUGCCACUGCUUUCUGCUCUCGGAUCUCUGCUGGGAGCUUUCCCCUCCAUCUUCACGACAGGAACACACUCCUCAAGUGUGGAUCCGUCGCCACCUCUUCCAGGAGCUCCCUCCUGCCAGACUCUGUCCAGGAGCCCCAGCGUGUCCAGGCUGGCCCGGUGCCAGCAUUCAGCUGGUUCCUUCUUUGCCAGUGAGCAGAGAGAAGCUGGAAAGUGUCCGAUUUAUGGGAGUUUUUCUUGCAGAUGCUGCACAGUGUAGGUGGUACCUCUGAACUUGCUCUUCUGAGCCCACCUACACUGCGGGGACAGGGACAGCCCCAUGGGGAACAGCCAGGCGUGUGGCACCUGCACCUUCUCCCCCGAGGAAGAAAAGAAGAGGAACAGCGUGAUUCGGUCCCCCAGGCACUGGACACGCGGCAGGGAGCACCUGCAGCGCUACUGGCACCUGGGGACAUCUGGCUUACUGUGGGUGGCAGAACUGCUGCUCCGGCCCCCAGCACUGCUCCAGACACGUCUGCUCUGAGACAAGGCCAGACACCUGAAAUGAGGGAUAAUUGUUUAUGAUUCAGUGUGUGUUUGAGGGGUGCAACACAGGUCCUGGGUGUCAAGGUCGGGCAGGGUGUGGGGGGAGUGCAAAAGGAAGUGUCCCUGCAGACAGAUGAGGAUUCCGGGCGGUGCUGAGCCAAAGCCCGAGCACCUGGUGCAGCCCAUCGAGCUCUGAACAGGAGGGUGAGCAAGACCCACCGGGCAGAGGGGAGUGGAGGCAGUGGUGGCUGGGGUGGGGAGCAGGGCACCACGGCACAGCUGGGGCUGGGGGACAGCAGAAAGAGGUGCCGGGGUCGCUGGUGAGGUGGGCAGCACGUCGGGGUCUGCCCAGAGUGAACCGCUGGGGCUGGGGCUGGGGGAAUUUUGGGAGCAAGUCACAUCUACCUGGGGGAGCAACCGUGAUGGGGUGACAGGUUGACAACAGCCGUGGUGGGGUGGCAAGGUGAGGCACCGGCAGGGUGAUGGGACUACAGAGUGAUGGGAUGAGGGGGUGACAGGGUGGCCCUGACCCCGAGCUGCACUCCCGAAGCUCCGUCCCAGCCAGGUCCCCAGCCUGUCUCAGCCUCGUCGCAGCCGGGUCCCAGCCCCGUCCCAGCCCAGUUCCAGCUCGGUUCCAGCCCAGUCCCAGCCUGGUCCCAGCUCGGUUCCGGCCCAGUCCCACCCAGUCCCAGCUCGGUUCCAGCCCAGUCCCACCCAGCCCCCCCUCGUCGCAGCCCCACGUUCCCUCCUGCCUGCCCUGAUGUGACCGGCAGGGGGCGUUCCCGUCCCGGGA